rnacentral:rRNA from 1 species
CGGGGGGCAGCAGUGGGGAAUCUUGCGCAAUGGGCGAAAGCCUGACGCAGCAACGCCGCGUGCGGGAUGAAGGCCUUCGGGUUGUAAACCGCUUUUAACAGGAACGAAAAUGACGGUACCUGUAGAAUAAGGUGCGGCCAACUACGUGCCAGCAGCCGCGGUGACACGUAGGCACCAAGCGUUGUCCGGAUUUAUUGGGCGUAAAGAGCUCGUAGGCGGUUCAGUAAGUCGGGUGUGAAAACUCUGGGCUUAACCCAGAGACGCCACUCGAUACUACUGUGACUAGAGUUCGGUAGGGGAGCGGGGAAUUCCUAGUGUAGCGGUGAAAUGCGCAGAUAUUAGGAGGAACACCGGUGGCGAAGGCGCCGCUCUGGGCCGAUACUGACGCUGAGGAGCGAAAGCGUGGGUAGCAAACAGGAUUAGAUACCCGAGU